UUUAACAUCACUUAUUCAGGUUACCAAUUUUGUUUGGUAUUAAAAGGGAACCAUGUUAAAAUCAUGGGCUGACGUUGCAACUGUAUUUCUGUUUUUUCAACUAAAAUUUGAAAUCAAAAAUUUGCUAAAUAUCAGGUCACUGUUUUGUUUUUCAACAAAAUGGGAAGGCAUUUAGUAAACAGAUAAGCCAGGAGACCUGCCGAUUAGGAUUUGUCAAG
rnacentral:ncRNA from 1 species